rnacentral:tRNA from 1 species
CAUUAGAUGGCUGAAAUGCAAGCACUGGUCUCUUAAACCAUUUAAUAAUAAAUUAGCACUUAUUUCUAAUGA